rnacentral:rRNA from 1 species
GACGAACGCUGGCGGCGUGGAUUAGGCAUGCAAGUCGAACGGUAUAAACCUUUCGGGGUUUAGAGAGUGGCGAACGGGUGAGUAACACGUAGGUAAUCUACCCUCAAAACGGGGACAGCCCAGGGAAACUUGGGCUAAUACCGGAUGCGUGCAAGCAAUGUUUUGGCUGUUAAUGCUAUUCACGGAAGUGAGUAGUGUUAAUGGUUGAGAGCAUUAUUUGCAUAAAAGGUGGCAUAUGCUGCCGUUUGAGGAUGAGCCUGCGUCCCAUUAGUUAGUUGGUGAGGUAAUGGCUUACCAAGGCGAUGAUAGGUAGGCGGCCUUAACGGGUGGUCGCCCACACUGGGAUUGAGAGACGGCCCAGACUCCUACGGGAGGCAGCAGUCGAGAAUAGUCUACAAUGGACGGAAGUCUGAUAGUGCGACGCCGCGUGAACGAAGAAUCCCUUCGGGGUGUAAAGUUCUUUUAUACGUGAGCAGUGCCCUUUAUAUGAAUAGUAUAGAGGGAGGGAUUUAAGCGUAUGAAUAAGCAACGGCUAACUCCGUGCCAGCAGCCGCGGUAACACGGGGGUUGCAAGCGUUGUCCGGAAUUACUAGGCGUAAAGUGCAGGUAGGCGGAUAGAUAAGUUUAAGGUUAAAGGCUACGGCUUACCCGUAGUAAGGUGUUAGAUACUGUUUAUCUGGAAUGCGGUUGAGGGAGACAGAAUUCCUGGUGUAGCGGUGGAAUGCGCAGAGAUCAGGAGGAAUACCGAAGGCGAAGGCAGUCUUCUAAGCCGAUAUUGACGCUAAACUGCGAAGGUGUGGGGAUCAAACAGGAUUAGAUACCCUGGUAGUCCACACAGUAAACGAUAAUCACUAGGUGUUGGGUUCGUAUAGGACUCGGUGCCGGAGCUAACGCGAUAAGUGAUUCGCCUGGGGAGUACGAUCGCAAGGUUGAAACUCAA